rnacentral:rRNA from 1 species
UGGGGAAUCUUCCGCAAUGGACGAAAGUCUGACGGAGCAACGCCGCGUGAGUGAUGACGGCCUUCGGGUUGUAAAGCUCUGUUAAUCGGGACGAAUGGUUCUUGUGCAAAUAGUGCGAGGAUUUGACGGUACCGGAAUAGAAAGCCACGGCUAACUACGUGCCAGCAGCCGCGGUAAUACGUAGGUGGCAAGCGUUGUCCGGAAUUAUUGGGCGUAAAGCGCGCGCAGGCGGAUUGGUCAGUCUGUCUUAAAAGUUCGGGGCUUAACCCCGUGAUGGGAUGGAAACUGCCAAUCUAGAGUAUCGGAGAGGAAAGUGGAAUUCCUAGUGUAGCGGUGAAAUGCGUAGAUAUUAGGAAGAACACCAGUGGCGAAGGCGACUUUCUGGACGAAAACUGACGCUGAGGCGCGAAAGCCAGGGGAGCGAACGGGAUUAGAUACCCCGGCAGUCCUGGCCGUCUUUAUACUAGGUGUAGGAGGUAUCGACCCCUUCUGUGCCGGAGUUAACGCAAUAAGUACCCCGCCUGGGGAGUACGACCGCAAGGUUG